rnacentral:rRNA from 1 species
CCCUUAGAUGUUCUGGGCAGCACGCGCGCUACAAUGGUCUUCGCAAACGGAUGCAGUCUCGAAGGAGAAUGCCAAUCUUGGAAUCUAUGCCUUGGUCGGGACAGUUGCUUGCAAUUUUUCGACUCGAACCAGGAAUUCCUUGUAAUCGUGAUUCAUCACAUCACGAUGAAUACGUCCCUGCCCUUUGUACACACCGCCCGUCGCUCCUACCGAUCGAAGAGUUAGGUGAAUUGUUUUGAUCGAUAAGAUUUGACUAUGGUCAACUCUCGUUGUGAAAUUCUGUGAAUCUGACUGUUUAGAGGAAGGAAAAGUCGUAACA